rnacentral:rRNA from 1 species
GACGUAGGGCGCGAGCGUUGUCCGGAUUUAUUGGGCGUAAAGAGCUCGUAGGCGGCUUGUCGCGUCGGCUGUGAAAACCUGCAGCUUAACUGUGGGCCUGCGGUCGAUACGGGCAGACUUGAGUUCGGUAGGGGAGACUGGAAUUCCUGGUGUAGCGGUGAAAUGCGCAGAUAUCAGGAGGAACACCGGUGGCGAAGGCGGGUCUCUGGGCCGAUACUGACGCUGAGGCACGAAGGCCAGGGGAGCAAACGGG